rnacentral:lncRNA from 1 species
GAGAGAAUGAUCUCUAUUUAUAGAAGAGAGUUUCUAGUUUCAUUCUGACAUUGACAUGUGUCGUGUUGUGAUUUGCUUCUGAUGUUGACACGUAUCGUGUUAUGAUUGGCUUCUGAUGUCGACACGUGUUGCGCUGUGAUUGGCCUCCUAGUUGGAGGGAAACUCUUCUGGGUCCUUAACGGUAUAAUGUUGACCGGUGCUCAGUAGUUUCGGGAUUGGUCAAUUAUGGUACAAACAAGAUUCAUGAAACAUCAUUUCACUAAUGUGGUUUUUUUAUUCUUCCAACCAGGGACGGAUGGAGAGCCGACUGAGAUGGUUCUUAUUAUUUGCUAGGAAAAUUAAAACUAAAAUUAAAUAAGGAAGAUAAUUUAACUGAAAUUGGUUCUCCCAUUCCCAUUUCGAUCAAGACUUGGAUUCAGACUUUGAACCCUAAUAAAAAAAUCAUGAAACUUCUUCUUUGCCAAUAAGGAAGGUUGAUGGAAUCUCUUCUUUCAUUUUAUCAAAAAUACCCUAACAACUCCAUCGCUUCUAUAGCUAAUUUGCUAGUGCGGCGGUCAGAUUAAAUCUUACCACCACCAUCCACCAUCAAGGUCAGCUUUACAUUUUCACAACAAUUUUUCCUUUUAAAAGUUUUGGAUAAUUGUCUAAAACUCGAAAGCGCUUGAACGGUAAUUUGCUUUCUGUGUUCAUUGAAGCUACAAUUUUUUUUCUUCCGGAAAUUCCAAAUUGGUAGUUUGCAUAUUUUUUAAGGUUAUAAUUGCUAACAAGUAUAUCCUUGUUAUACUUCAGUAAAUGUGCUUGCAAGUCUGGUAAUUGCAUCUUUCUCUGAAAUAUUUUUUUUCUUUUUUUUUCUCAUUCGUUUUCCGUUUCUCUGUAUUCCUUUCUGCGCACUUUGGUGUGCCUAUAAAAAUGGAGGAUGCAUAUAGUUUUAGGGAUGAAAGUUUGUUCUUGACUGCUUAGCCUGUGCAGUAUCCUGAAUUUAUGUUUUGAACCAAUUCGUACAUAUGAAAAUACAGGGACACGUUACCCUUUUUUUUAAGGGAGUUUUAACGAAAAGUCCACGGUACUGUUCACUUUAACGAAAAACCACAUUUUUACACUAAAAAGUCAAACAUGAUACUAUUCACUUUACCCUUUAUUUUGUCCUUAUAAUUAAAACUCAAAGUUUUCAAACCCUUUUCAUUAGUUUCCUUUUUUUUAAUUGGAUUUUUUUAUUAGCACCCCACAUAUUGUUGAAUACACCCACAUAAAUAUGUAUUAUUAAAUCACUCAUGUAUCUUAACAUGAAAUGACCAUUUAGCCCCAAAAAAAUUAAAACAAAUUGAAUACACAAAUUAUUUAAUAAUAUGAACCCUAAAUCUAAAUUGGUUGUCUAAACCCGAACCCUAAAAUCCUAAAAAUCCUUAUUGACAAAAACCCCCAACUUGAUAGAAACCCAAACCCUAAAAAUCAAAAAAGGGUAAAUUACAUAGUAACCCUUCAAGUUUAAGGUCUAUUACAAUCCCAUACAACAUCUUUAAAACAUUUCACUUCAUACCUCAUGUACUAUUUUAUUUCAAAAUAAUACCUCCGUUACAUUUUCCAUCCAUUGAUCUAUUAAGUGCUGAUGUGGUUGCCACAUUUGUACCACGUGGCAAUAAUAAUAAUAAUAAUUUAUUAUUUUUAUUUUUUAAAAAAACAUGAAUCUUCUAACUUAAAAAAAAAAAAAAAAAACUCAAACAAAACCCCAUCCCCGUGCACCCCCAACCAGA